UUUGUGUUGACCGAUGUAGAAGGUUGACUAAAUUCUUCCCCGCCCCCGCGACCACUCAGUAGAUGCGCGCUCACCCUCUGACUCAAACGCACACUCUCGAACGCUCGCACACUCUCAAACCUAAAACGCUCUAUACAGUCGGAAAGUACCAGUUCACGUGCUUCCUUGGCCGCGAGAACUUCGCCAUGGUCUACCAGGCACACUCGCUGCUCGACAGCGCCACGGUCGCGGUAAAAGCCAUUGAUAAGUCCAAGACGGUCGACGCCUCCAUGGAGCCCCGCAUCGUGCGCGAGAUUGAUGCCAUGCGCCGCCUCCAGCACCACCUUAACAUCCUCAAAAUCCCCGAAGUCCUUGCCACCAAGACCAAGAUCUACCUCAUCGUGGACUUCGCCGGCGGCGGCGAGCUCUUCUCCAAGCUCUCCCGUAGCGGUCGCCUCUCGGAGUCCCUUGCGCGCCGCUACGCAGCUCGUCUCCACGCUCCGCUUCUGCCACCACCACGGUUAUAAGUUGGGGAUGAACGCUUUUGACAUAAUCUCCAUGUCCUCGGGGUUGGACUUGCGGGGGCUGUUCGAAAUGACGUUGGAUAAGGGGAGGCGGUGGGAGAAACGGUUCACUUUCGAUAAGAGUGUGGAGGCCGUCGAGACGAAGGUGAAGGAGGUUGGCUUGAAUUUGGGGUUUAGGGUUGAGGUUGGGAAGAACGGUGCAAUUGGGUUGGGAUGGGAUACUAUCGUCCGAUUUUCUUCCUAUAGUGAAAUUAUAGGGGAGGGGUUCUUUGCUGACUUUGAUCAAGUUGCUGAUGAUAAGAGCCGCCACUUCUCUUAGUGUGCACAGAGGCUAGCUGAGCUGGGGUUUAAAUAUGGUGAUAUGCCAACCCACAAUUUGCUAUGGAGGGAAUGUGAGAAAUCAUUAGACAAUGUUGCUGCACGUUUGGCUGUGAUCCCACUAGUCCAGGGCAUAAUUCUGUUGAAACUGAAGCAAAUUGUAGGAUAAAUGAUUUUCCACAUGGCUCUGCAACUCUCAUGGAGAUGGAUAUUAUGGCUGGAUUUGAGGGAAAAAUCUUUGGUGCAUUUUGUUUGCAUUUACUGAGGUCCUCGCAAGAUACAUCUGAUACUAUUAUGGUCCCUAUUGAAGCUGAAGUAGAUAGUCAUUCUACCUAUGAUAUGGCUGGUAUAUUUAUUUCAACAACUCUUGAGGGUCUAGCUACAUGUGAUGGUGGUGAAACUGCUAUCACUAUCUCUCUAAGAAAUGAUUCCCCAUAUGUUUCAAGUUUUGUUAAAGUCUUUGAAGUUUCUGACAAAGAGCUUUUCCAUUUCAAGUACUAAGAAGGUUUGCUACUUUUCCCCGGUACUGUUACGCAAGUUGGCAUUAUUUACUGUAGUCAUCUACACUUGGAUUUACAUGACUUUGCUCCUAAAGUCUCCAGCUUGCGAGAGAACUGCAAACUACUGAUUCUUACUAAUGACUCAACUAGUCCCAUGAUUGAGAUACCAUAUGAGGACGUAUUAUAUAUUUGUUUUGAACAUCAAAGGCUAAGGCAUUCAUCUGUUAAAGUAGAGGGCAAGUCCAAACAUGCUGAAUCUGACAAUAUGAGAGCAGGGUAUAUGGCCAGAAGCAUGCAAUUAAGACCAAACAUCAAGGUAAGUUGAUUCAGCCCUUGCUGUCUGUAUUCUAUUUGAACACAAAUGUUGAUGAGCUGUUUUUAAUUAAUAACUCAACAUUGAGACUACUGAGUAAUAAAUACCGUCUUUUAUUUUUGUAGUCAUUCAUUUUU